UCCUCGCGCCUCUUCCCUAUCUCCCCCGAACAACCGCAUCGUGGUCGCCAUGGACCUCAUCGAUCCCGCGGCCACAGGCCUCCCCGUCACCAGCUAGCAUGCCCGGGAGCUUCCCUGCGGUCGCCUCCUUCGACUACACCGAAGAACUUGUGCCGGAGGCCCCAUAGCCUCGCCAUCGUCCUCAUCUUCUCCCACGGGCACCGACAUCCAUCGCCGGUUCCCGCUACUCCGGGCCGCCCCCGACCUCCCAACCUCGUCCACAAGCACUGGGGUGAGCCUCUCUGCCGAUUCCCUCGCUUUGCCCCUUCGAUCUAUGCCGUUUGUUGCCACUCUCAUGCUCGUCUAUAGUCGCCAUGGCCGGAGCCCGAGCUACUCUGUACGUGCUGAUGUCGCUUCUGUUACUGGUGCGUGCUGCGUGCCCGCCUCCCCGCACCGGGCCACGCCCCGCACAGCGCCCCACCGUCGCUCGCGCUACCCCCCUCCUGCUGCACCGGCCCACCGCGACCGCGGCCGUCUCCGGCUGGCCACGUCGUGGCCACGGCCCCGUCGGCGCUCGCUGCCGCCCCCUUCCCUCCCCACGCGCGGUUGCGGCCGCCCCAUGCCCGCUCGCCGGUCGUCCCCUUUGCCCCACUGCUGUCGGUGCAGCUCGUUCCACCCGCGUGACCCCGCGUCGCCUGGAGCCGGCCGCCGCGGCCUGUCAUCCUCGCCGGCGCCCCGCUGACCUUGCCCCACACCUGGGCGGGUUCGGCCUCCGCCCGGGGCAGCACCCGCCCGUUAACCACCCGCUCAAGUGGCCUAAUGGGCCACUGAUUAGUGGGGUCCAUCCCCUGUUAUAAGUAAAAAAAAAAGAUAUAAAAAAUAAUUAAAAUAAUUAAUAAAUUCAUUAAUCAAUAAUUAACUUAAUUAACCUCACUUAAUUAUCUUAAUUAACUAGGUUAGUUAAAAUCAAAAGCUGUUUAGUUAUCAGUCUAUGACAGGAUGGACCCACCUGUCAGUUUGACUAGUCAACAGGUCAACGUUGACUGCUGACAUCACCCUGACGUCAUGCUGAUGCAGUAUUUCUUUUUAAUAAUAAUUUUAGAAUAUUGUUUAAAUCUUUGAAAAAUCAUAGAAAAUUAAUCGUCGCUCGGAUCGAAAAACUUUGUACAUGAAAGUUGCUCAGAACGAUGAGACAAAUCCGAAUACGCGGUCCUUUCAUCCGCCACACGUCCCUAGCAUAGCAAACGUUGAAUUCCCCCUCCGGUUCAUCUGUUUGACAGACGUUUGGAUCCGGGAAAACUUUCCCGGAUGUUUCCCCCUUCGCCAAUAUCGCCUAGUGCUGCUUUAGAACACCUCUAGCCUCGCUUAUUGUCAUGUUAUGCAUAUGUUUGCGUGUAUUAACUAUUUUCGCCCUCUUCUCCCCGGUAGACCACGAGACCACUGCUGAUGCCAUUGUGAUCGACUACGUUGACGACGACCCUCCUUCUUGUCUGAGCAACCAGGAAAGCCCCCCCAUUGAUCAUCCCGAUAUCGCCCAUUCCAUUAUCUCAUGCUUGCAUUAGAUUUUGCUAUUGUUAUUGUUUGCUCCUAUUCUGAUGCAUAGCCUGCUUUUGUACCUACUUAUUGUUACCUACUUGCUUAUCCUAAACUGAUUAGUAUAGGUUGCCUAGUGAUCCAUCAGUGACCCCCACUUGUCCUUCUUGCCCUGGCUUCGUCAUCGACGCCUCGAUCGACGUGAUCGACGACCAGAGCUCGACACCUCACAUCACAUCACGCCCCUUUAGUUGCUCGACUCUGCAGAGCUACUAUCGAGUGCCGAGGGUGAUCCCUCAUAAUGCACUCCUGAUGAUAAUUCUGUAGCGUAGCUAUUCGGUCAUGGUCAUCUAGGGUGAUUUCCUCUUUCACCAUUCUCUAUACGGCUCUGUCGUUCAACACCUGAGGUGUGAACCUCGAGGGUGGUCCCUCUUACAUUCACCUUGAUGAUUACAUUGAGUGGAAUCCACCGGGGGUGAUUCCUCAGGUUUUCUCCUUGAUGUUUGGACACACGGUUACAAUGACUUUACUUCAGACCCUGGUGGAAUUCGGGCGGGCCCGGAGAGCACCCGCAAGAUAAUGACGUGGCACGGCCGGGCAUUCUAGGCCCUCGUCGUAAGUCCACGAGACGGGGCGACGGGGUCACUUUCGAUCGUGAGUCUCUGCUCGUCUUCGCAAGCUAAUAAUACACUAUGGUUUGGGUAUUUGUUCUGAGUUGGCCUUUGGCCUUUACGCACUAACCACCACGCGAGAAUAGUUAUGGGCCUCGAUGUCGUGGUAUCAUCCGAAGCUUUGUCAGACGUCCAGUUCAGCAUUGUGGCACGGUCGGAUCGGGCUGGCCAUCCGAGGCGGUGCUGGUAUCAGCCCUACACACAACGACCCGGAGUGCUCCGGGCGAUGGGCCCAAGACCCCGGAGUGCUUAGGAUGUAGAGCGGCGGGGACCUCUCUACUGAGCCUAGGUAGGGAUGUGACGUGUUGAUCUUUCGAGGGCGGGCAUUGACCCCAGAAAGGUGUGUCCGGCCAGAGUGAUCGAGCGUGUUGGGUAACGUGGUGCACCCCUGCAGGGAAGAUUAUCUAUUAAUAGCCGUGUCCACGGUAACGGACGUUCAGACAUAUAUCCUGAUCUUAUACAACUUCAAAUGGAUACUUGAAUAUGUGGCUCCGGGAUUGCUUUCUCGCGGGGAGUCGAGGAAGGAUCUCUGGGCAUUAAUGUUACAACUUGUUUGUUAACUAAAAAUUGUUAUUGUUUACUCUUCUACAUGCCACAAGAUGCUCGGAGCUGCUUGAAGAUGCUAGUCUUUGAUAGGCUAGGCCUUCCCCCUCUAUUCUGGCAUUCUACAGUCCAGUCCACAGAUACAACCCUUCCAUUUGAUACCAAUGCAUACUUAGUAUAGAUCUGAUGCUUGCGAGUACUUUGGAUGAGUACUCACGGUUGCUUUGCUCCCCCUUUCCCCCUUCUUUCUUCUUUCUGGUUGUUACAACCAGAUGGUGGAUCCCAGGAGCCAGAUGAUGCCACCCCCGCCGACUACUACUACUACCAAGAGGGUGCCUUAUUCUACAUGGAGCCCGCCGACGACCAGGAGUAGUUAGGAGGUCCUAGUCAGGAGGCCUUGCCUCUUCGAUCGUGUUGCUUUUGUGCUAGCCUUCUUAAGGCAAAACUUGUUUAACUUAUGUUUGUACUCAGAUAUUGUUGCUUCCGCUGACUCGCUUGUGUAUCAAGCUUAUGUAUUCAAGCCCUCGAGGCCCCUGGCUUGUAAUAUAAAGCUUGUAUUAUUUUGAUUUGUGUCUAGAGUUG
rnacentral:lncRNA from 1 species